rnacentral:pre_miRNA from 1 species
UGUGUACUCCCUCCGUCCCAAAAUACUUGACUUCCAUUUGUCCAAAAAUGGAUGUACCUAUAUACUAAGACAUGUCUAGAUACAUAUAUAUUUUGACAAAUAGAAGGCAUGUAUUGUGCAACAGAGGGAGUAGAAU